rnacentral:lncRNA from 1 species
UGAAGUGCUGCUAAAAGUGAGAAUUCAUCCACGUUUCGUUUUUUUCCCUUUCUUUCCUUUUUUUUUUUUUUUUUUAAGUAGUUCCAAUUGAUGAUUAUUUAUGCAAUUGUGUCAUGCAAAUGGACGCUCCAUUUUUCCGUGGGCACAAGUGUACCAACACGAAUGGGAGAGCUAAAUCUUUAAUGACGCCUUUGAUCUCGAGAUUGUUUACUUGAUCUCCGGAUCUGCAGUCUGAGGCAGUAGUUUUCCUACUUUGGCUAGAAAAUUGAUUCAAACCGUCCACAGCUCUAGUUUCGACUCUGGAUGAACAGGGUAGAAUUGUGGUAAUGUUAGCCGGCCUUACGGCUUCGUUAACUAGUCUAUAUUUGAUUGGUCAGUUAAAACUUUUAAAACUUUAACACACCUGUAGUCAUGGAGACUAUGACGGAGGCUGCACUGGAGAAUCACGUGUGUAAUUAUAUCUUCGAGUUUCAGUUUUAUUCUACAAUGUAAACAUCAUCCGUCUCAAGAUGAUAAAACUGUUGCGCAGCCUCACAAACUGUAGGCUGCGUUAAUGAAUAAGAGACGCAGCCAACAUGCUGAUCACCAGCAGAUCCGGCGGUUCUGAGCCCUGAGCUGUCAUCAUCGUCGUCGUCAGCUUUUGGUACCGGAUCGCAUUUCCUUAUGCUUUAAUGAAAAAAAUGGAUCAAAACAAUGCAUUGGUUGAAGUUGAAGCAUUUUGGAGAACCGUCCCAUGGAUAACCACACAACAAAACUGAACCUUCGGGAUUGGGCUGAUUAAUGGUGAUGAUCGAUAGAUUCUGAGUGUGUGUGUGCGUGUGUGUGUGUGUGUGUGUGUGUCAAGGAGAAGACUCUUUAUGGAUUAGAGCAACAUCUGUGGAUUUCCUGUGAUCAGCAACAAAGCAGAACUCUGUUCACUCUCCAUCCUGCUUUGAAGUCCCACGUCGCAGAAUGCAGUCAUUGUUCAUCCUGCGCUGCACGCCAUCUCUGUAAUCGGAAAGAUUUCUCUGGACAAGACAAGACGUGUUAUGGCUGUCGCCUGAAGAGAGCAAGGCGAGGAAACCUGUGUGUCCAGAUGAAGGUGGAUUAUUUUACACACUGAAGCAGAACAGACCCUGUCACUGCAGGAGCAAAUUUUGACAAAUCAAAAAUGUCUCUCCCUGUCGGGACAGAGUGAGCAGGGAUCCGAGGAAGUGACUCACCGCACAGGCAGACACACGUGCUCAGGACACACUGCUCUUGUGAGUCAGUAACCACGGGAAUGCCGACAGAAUCGGUUUGAGGCGUUCUGAAGGGGAGAAAUAAAACCCGCUUCUCUGAGCGGCCCGAUUUAAUC